rnacentral:tRNA from 1 species
GGUGGCUCAGUGGUCGAGCACUUGCCUUGCAUGCAUGAGGCCCUGGGUUCAAUUCCUCAGCACCA